rnacentral:rRNA from 1 species
UACGUAGGUGGCGAGCGUUGUCCGGAAUUAUUGGGCGUAAAGCGCGCGCAGGCGGUCCUUUAAGUCUGAUGUGAAAGCCCACGGCUCAACCGUGGAGGGUCAUUGGAAACUGGGGGACUUGAGUGCAGAAGAGGAGAGUGGAAUUCCACGUGUAGCGGUGAAAUGCGUAGAGAUGUGGAGGAACACCAGUGGCGAAGGCGACUCUCUGGUCUGUAACUGACGCUGAGGCGCGAAAGCGUGGGGAGCAAACAGG